rnacentral:rRNA from 1 species
UGACUUUCGGAGGAGGUAAUGACCAGUUCCAUUGAUGCCUUUUGGUAUUGUGGAUAGGGGUACGGUUUUCCACCGUACCGAAACCUAGCAGAGGGCCAGUCUGGUGCCAGCAGCUGCGGUAAUUCCAGCUCUGCGAGUUUGCUCCCAUAUUGUUGCAGUUAAAACGCCCGUAGUCUGAAUUGGCCAGCAAUGGUCGUAUGUAUUUAUACGUUCACUGUGAACAAAUCAGGACGCUUAGAGUAUGGCUACGUGAAUGACUCAGCGCAGUAUGAAGUCUUUGUUUUCUUCCGAAAACAAGCUCAACGAGAGCCAUCGGGGGUAGAUCUAUCUCAUGACGAGUGGUGGAAUACUUUGACUCAUGAGAGAGAAUCUGAGGCGAAGGCGUCUACCUAGAGGGUUUCUGUCGAUCAAGGGCGAGAGUAGGAGUAUCCAACAGGAUUAGAGACCCUGGUAGUUCCUACCUUAAACGAUGCCGACAGGAGUUUGUCACUUGUUAGUGGCAGAAUCUUGGAGAAAUCAUAGUUCUUGGGCUCUGGGGGAACUACGACCGCAAGGCUGAAACUUGAAGGAAUUGACGGAAGGGCACACCAGGGGUGGAGCCUGUGGCUUAAUUUGAAUCAACACGGGGAAACUUACCAGGACCAGAUGUUUUUUAUGACUGACAGGCUUUGGGUCUUUCAGGAUAUUGCUUUUGGUGGUGCAUGGCCGUUGGUGGUGCGUGGGUUGACCUGUCUAGCGUUGAUUCAGCUAACGAGCGAGAUUAUCGCCAAUUAUCUACUUCAUCUAAGUCUUAGAUGGAAGUUCUAAUUGGGACUCCCUGCGAUUUUAGCAGGUGGAAGAGGGUAGCAAUAACAGGUCCGUGAUGCCCUUUAGAUGCUCUGGGCUGCACGCGUGCUACAAUGUUAGGAUCAAUAGGACUGCAAAGCCGAGAGGCCGCGCUACUCUUAUAAUCCCUAACGUAGUUGGGAUUGACGUUUGUAAUCAGCGUCAUGAACCAGGAAUCCCUUGUAAAUGUGUGUCAACAACGCACGUUGAAUACGUCCCUGCCCUUUGUACACACCGCCCGUCGCUCCUACCGAUUGGAUGACUCGGUGAAAUCACCGGAUGCUUACGAGCAGAAAGUGAU